AACGUAGGACACAAGCGUUGUCCGGAAUUAUUGGGCGUAAAGAGCUCGUAGGCGGUCUGUCGCGUCUGCUGUGAAAUCUCAGGGCUUAACCCUGAGCUUGCAGUGGGUACGGGCAGACUAGAGUGCGGUAGGGGAGACUGGAAUUCCUGGUGUAGCGGUGAAAUGCGCAGAUAUCAGGAGGAACACCGGUGGCGAAGGCGGGUCUCUGGGCCGAUACUGACGCUGAGGAGCGAAAGCGUGGGGAGCGAACAGG
rnacentral:rRNA from 1 species